GUUCUAUCAGUGAAAGGAUUGGAGACUGGUUCUAGUAGUGGUGGUUUGUUUGAUGAAUUUCUAGUGCCCAUGAUUUGCAAAGGGUUUCAGCCAGUACUGGCGUCUAGCAACCUUGAAGCCCACAGUUGACCUGCCUCCUAAUUUGUGUGAUGAGCAAAUGUGUAGAUUGUGUGUGUAAAUCGGAGAUGCCUUGGGUUAUGCCCUCGGAGAAGAUGGAUUGGUCUUGGUGAACGAGGUGGAGGUGAUCGAAGAGGCAAUAUGCUUAUAAAUCAUCUUCACAUCGGGUAUAUUUUUCUCGGCUAUGGGUGUACAUGAUAUGUUUGCCAAAACACUUGCAAAUUAUGGCACACUUACUGGUGAGAGAUCCAUAUGCCUGAUGCCUGAAGUGAAAAAUUGUUGCAAGAUGUCCUAUAAGGCUAUUAAGGCAGAUGAUCUUCUUUUCUCCAUUGUCCAAUAUUGAAGCUUUUGUUGCCCAUCAGCAUACACCUCAUCCAGGUUCAUUUCCUAUAUACUAGUUAGAUACUGCUUCAUAGUUGCUCUAGGUGUACUUUGAUUAGCGUCAUCUACUUGUCCCAUCAUCGACAAGGUUAUAUGAUUGCGAGAGAUUAAUAACUUUUGUGAUACGCGUUCAUUUAUUAACUAAAUCAUCAGCUUGCUCAAUAAUACUUUUGGGUACUCGUGUGGUGUUUAUGGCUGAUGAAAUACGCUUUGUUUAAUAGGACUGGAGACAUUUCUGAUGCUUAGGUCAAAACACCGGACCUAUUUCUUAUUUGUUUGUAAACUCAGUCCAGUAAUACAAGUUAGCAUUUUGUCUUAAUUGUUCUUGGAAUUAAAAAGGAAACCUUCUUGUUGUUCGUUCUACACCGCUAAUCUGUUUAGCCAUCCUUGAGAAAGGCUCGACGGUUGGACGUGAAAACUAUAUUUGUUCUCCUUUUGCUUCUCUGGUUUAGUUUUAAAUUUAAUCUAGGUUGGCUGUUUGCAAUUGAAAAAAUGUUUGUUUCAUGGCUUCCUGUAAAUGUUGUUAGGCACUGUAGAAGCAGAAAUUUAGAAGGGAAUCACAUUACGGAAGAAGGUUCACAGGAAUGGAGCAUCACUCCUUAGCACGUCUACAUAAACAAUGGGGGUUCGUAUGUACAAUUGUGCAUAUAGCUUAGGUGAAGCGAUUUCUGAUUUGUGAAACUCUCUUUAUGUUAAGAUAAAGGGAAGGACUAUAUAAUGCUAAAAUUUCCAUUACUCCUAUAACUAUUGAAUCAAAUCAAAUCUGUUUUUAUUCUUGUGUUUGCCUGCUAUGAAAAAUGAGGUUGGGUACUAGUGGGUAAAUAGGCAGAGUGAUUCCAGAUUUCUAACACUCUCCUCGUGUUAAGUUGAAGCAAUACAAUGAUCCAUUUUACAUUAUACAAAUUUAUUUUUAUUCUCAUGAUCAUGAAUAUUGCAGUAUUUUUUGUGUGUAAUGAAAAGUGAGUGGAUCACGUGCUGAAGUACCCCUUUAGACCAUUUUUUU